UACAGAGGGUGCGAGCGUUGUCCAGAAUCACUGGGCGUAAAGGGCGCGUAGGCGGCUUGAUAAGCGUGCGGUGAAAGCCCGGGGCUCAACCCCGGGUCGGCCGUGCGAACUGUCGAGCUGGAGCACUGUAGAGGCAGGUGGAAUUCCGGGUGUAGCGGUGGAAUGCGUAGAGAUCCGGAAGAACACCGGUGGCGAAGGCGGCCUGCUGGGCAGUGGCUGACGCUGAGGCGCGACAGCGUGGGGAGCAAACAGG
rnacentral:rRNA from 1 species